UGAGGAAUAUUGCGCAAUGGCCGAAAGGCUGACGCAGCGACGCCGCGUGAGGGAUGAAGUCCGUUAGGAUGUAAACCUCUUUUGCAGGGGAUGAAAAGCCGCUUUCGGGCGGAAUUGACCGUACCCUGCGAAUAAGGAUCGGCCAACUACGUGCCAGCAGCCGCGGUAAUACGUAGGAUCCGAGCGUUGUCCGGAAUUACUGGGUGUAAAGGGCGUGUAGGUGGAUCUCUAAGUCGGGGGUGAAAUCCUGCAGCUUAACUGCAGAACUGCUUCCGAUACUGAAGAUCUUGAGUACGGCAGAGGGAGAUGGAAUUCAUGGUGUAGCGGUGAAAUGUGUAGAUAUCAUGAAGAACACCGGUAGCGAAGGCGGUCUCCUGGUCCGUAACUGACACUGAGGCGC
rnacentral:rRNA from 1 species